CUGGUAUAGGGUUUUAAUUACUAAGAUCGACCAAGAAUUUUGUUUAUUAUACAGGAAAGGUGGUAUUGGUUUUUUUGUUGUAAUUAGGGAAUAGAUCUGAUCAGUGAUCAGUAAAGUUCUUAUGGUUUUCUGUUUGAUGUUCUCUCGUUAUGUAUUGAUAAUAGAUAUAGAUAUUUGUGCUUAUCCUUUUUACCUUGUAUUUUUAUUACAAUUUUGUAUUUUUAUUGCAGUGUUGAUAUGUCUACUUAGAUUUUAUUUGCGACUGCCAAUC